rnacentral:rRNA from 1 species
AUGCAAGUCGAGCGAGAGUUAUUUUAGCUUGCUAGAAUAACAAAAGCGGCGAACGGGUGAGUAACACGUUGGUAUCUGCCCCUAGGUCAGGGAUAGCCCACUGAAAAGUGGAUUAAUACCGUAUAGUCUCUUCGGAGUAAAAUUUAUUGCCUAGGGAGGAGCCUGCGUUCUAUCAGCUUGUUGGUAAGGUAAAAGCUUACCAAGGCUAUGACGGAUAAUUGGUCUGAGAGGAUGAUCAGUCACAAUGGAACUGAGACAAGGUCCAUACUCC